rnacentral:miRNA from 1 species
AUAUACUUGGAAAGCUUUGUAUCAGACGAGUGGUUGUAGAUACAAAGUAAAAUAAAUGUAAAUACUCGUCUGAUACAAAGCUUUCCAAGUAUAUUUGG